GACAGCAGUCGCCACGGUAAUACGUAGGUGGCAAGCGUUGUCCGGAAUUAUUGGGCGUAAAGGGCUCGCAGGCGGUUUCUUAAGUCUGAUGUGAAAGCCCCCGGCUCAACCGGGGAGGGUCAUUGGAAACUGGGAAACUUGAGUGCAGAAGAGGAGAGUGGAAUUCCACGUGUAGCGGUGAAAUGCGUAGAGAUGUGGAGGAACACCAGUGGCGAAGGCGACUCUCUGGUCUGUAACUGACGCUGAGGAGCGAAAGCGUGGGGAGCGAACAGGAUUAGAUACCCCAGUAGUCCCUGUCUCUUAUAC
rnacentral:rRNA from 1 species